UACGUAGGGAGCAAGCGUUGUCCGGAAUCAUUGGGCGUAAAGCGCGCGUAGGUGGCCUCAUAAGUCCGCUGUGAAAGUCAAAGGCUCAACCUUUGAAAGCCGGUGGAUACUGUGAGGCUAGAGUACGGAAGAGGCGAGUGGAAUUCCUGGUGUAGCGGUGGAAUGCGCAGAUAUCAGGAGGAACACCAAUAGCGAAGGCAGCUCGCUGGGACGUUACUGACACUGAGGCACGAAAGCGUGGGGAGCGAACAGG
rnacentral:rRNA from 1 species